GCGAUAGAUCAUUCAAGUUUCUGACCUAUCAGCUUUCGACGGUACUGUAUUGGACUACCGUGGCAGUGACGGGUAACGGGGAAUUAGGGUUCGAUUCCGGAGAGGGAGCCUGAGAAACGGCUACCACAUCUAAGGAAGGCAGCAGGCGCGCAAAUUACCCAAUCCUGACUCAGGGAGGUAGUGACAAGAAAUAACAACGCUGGAGAUUUUAUUUCUAGUGAUUGGAAUGAUGGGAAUCCAAACCCCUUUCAGAGUAACAAUUGGAGGGCAAGUCUGGUGCCAGCAGCCGCGGUAAUUCCAGCUCCAAUAGCGUAUAUUAAAGUUGUUGCAGUUAAAAAGCUCGUAGUUGGAUUUCUGCUGGAAGCAGCCAGUCCGCCUUAUUAUUAUAUGGGGUGUGCACUUGGUGAAUUCUAGCAUCAUAUCAUCCUGAUUAUGUUGGUAACACGCGUUGCAUGAUUGUUGUCAUUAUUAUUGAUGAUGAUGAUGAUGCAGUGGGUUGUUUCUAAUAAUAUUAGGAUGACUGUUACUUUGAGAAAAUUAGAGUGUUUCAAGCAGGCUUAUUGCCUUGAAUACUGCAGCAUGGAAUAACAAGAUAGGAUUUCAGUUCUAUUUUGUUGGUUUCUAGGACUGAAGUAAUGAUUAAUAGGGACAGUUGGGGGCAUUCGUAUUUAACUGUCAGAGGUGAAAUUCUUAGAUUUGUUAAAGACGAACUACUGCGAAAGCAUUUGCCAAAGAUGUUUUCAUUAAUCAAGAACGAAAGUUAGGGGCUCGAAGACGAUCAGAUACCGUCGUAGUCUUAACCAUAAACUAUGCCGACUAGAGAUAGGAAAAUGUCAUCCUUGACUUCUCCUGCACCUUAUGAGAAAUC
rnacentral:rRNA from 1 species